UUGUGAAUUUAAUAUUUAAAUUUUAUGGUUAGAUUUUCCCUGAUGUAAAAGAAAAAAUAUUUUUUAUUUAAAAGAUAAUUAGGUGAGCUGUAAUAUUAUUUAUAAUUUAAAAAAUAAUAAUCUCUCAAACUAUAGUUAAUUUGAGUACAAUUUUAAUUGUUCAGCUUCCUUAUCUAGUUCUAAAUAUUACAAUUAAAUUCAGAUGUAUCAAAUCAAUUAUCAUACUUAACUCUAUAAACAAUCUAUAAGAUCAAUUUAUUUGUUCUUAGCUGAUU
rnacentral:lncRNA from 1 species